rnacentral:rRNA from 1 species
CGAGCGAACUGAUUAGAAAGCUUGCUUCUAUGACGUUAGCGGCGGACGGGUGAGUAACACGUGGGCAACCUGCCUGUAAGACUGGGAUAACUUCGGGAAACCGAAGCUAAUACCGGAUAGGAUCUUCUCCUUCAUGGGAGAUGAUUGAAAGAUGGUUUCGGCUAUCACUUACAGAUGGGCCCGCGGUGCAUUAGCUAGUUGGUGAGGUAACGGCUCACCAAGGCAACGAUGCAUAGCCGACCUGAGAGGGUGAUCGGCCACACUGGGACUGAGACACGGCCCAGACUCCUACGGGAGGCAGCAGUAGGGAAUCUUCCGCAAUGGACGAAAGUCUGACGGAGCAACGCCGCGUGAGUGAUGAAGGCUUUCGGGUCGUAAAACUCUGUUGUUAGGGAAGAACAAGUACGAGAGUAACUGCUCGUACCUUGACGGUACCUAACCAGAAAGCCACGGCUAACUACGUGCCAGCAGCCGCGGUA